CGAAGGUGCAAGCGUUACUCGGAAUUACUGGGCGUAAAGCGUGCGUAGGUGGUUCGUUAAGUCUGAUGUGAAAGCCCUGGGCUCAACCUGGGAACUGCAUUGGAUACUGGCGAUCUGGAGUGCGGUAGAGGGUGGCGGAAUUCCCGGUGUAGCAGUGAAAUGCGUAGAUAUCGGGAGGAACAUCCGUGGCGAAGGCGGCCACCUGGACCAGCACUGACACUGAGGCACGAAAGCGUGGGAGCAAACAGGAUU
rnacentral:rRNA from 1 species